rnacentral:rRNA from 1 species
GCAUGAGAACACAAACGCCAUACUCGACGCUCAGAAAUCUCUAUCCCUUGAUCAUGGAGCUCGUCUGCUAUCAGGCGGUAACCAAAUUCAGGAUCGUCACUGUGAAUCUGGCGAAUCUUGUCUAUAAGUUCUACUUCUUGGGCUUGCCUGUCCGAAACUGGCUUAGCAGCCCAUUUAUAAAACGCUUGGCGGGAAAACCCCAGUACCCGAGCCGCUACCGUCAAGGUCGCCUUACCUGCCUUGAUCAGCUUUUCCACGGUCGGGAAGACCCUUUUGGGCGAAUCACCUCUUGAGACAGGUACGCCGCCGCUGCACGUAGCACUUCGUUUUCCAUCUCCAACUCGCGAAUCCGUUUCAAAGUCUGGCGCAUCUCUUUAGCCACUACCGGAUCAGCACACGGUUGCAUCCCCUGAGCCUGCAACCUCGCAUCAGUAAUCCAUUUUUGCAACGAGGAACGCGAGAUCCCUAAAUCAGCACACACCUGACGGCGAGCAACCCCAGACUCCACCAACGCCACGGCAUCAGCUUUGAACUGCUCUGAAUACAACUUCGGCAUGAUCAAUAUCCUUCCCUGCCCCGCCCCAGCGAAACAAGCUAGACGUCAACCAAACCCUCAGCAGACCCGUGGGUAGGGGUGAAAGGCCAAUCAAACUCCGUGAUAGCUGGUUCUCCCCGAAAUGCAUUUAGGUGCAGCGUUGUGUGUUUCUUGCUGGAGGUAGAGCUACUGGUUGGUUGAGCGGGACUACAAUCUUAGCAAUGUCAGCCAAACUCCGAAUGCCGGUAAUGUUAAGCAUGGCAGUGAGAUUGCGGGGGAUAAGCUCCGUUGGUCGAGAGGGAAACAGCCCAGAUCGCCGGUUAAGGCCCCUAAGGGUGUACUAAGUGGAAAAGGAUGUGGGAUCGCGAAGACAGCCAGGAGGUUGGCUUAGAAGCAGCCAUCCUUGAAAGAGUGCGUAAUAGCUCACUGGUCGAGUGGUUCUGCGCCGACAAUGUAGUGGGGCUCAAGUACACCGCCGAAGCCGCGGCAGUCAGCAAUUUUUUUGUUGGUUGGGUAGGGGAGCGUCGUGCACUGCUGUGAAGCACCUGGGUGACUUGAUGGUGUGGAGUGUGUGCGAGUGAGAAUGCAGGCAUGAGUAACGAAUGAAAAGUGGAAAACUUUUCCGCCGGAUGACUAAGGGUUCCUGGGUUAAGCUAAUCUUCCCAGGGUGAGUCGGGACCUAAGGCGAGGCCGACAGGCGUAGUCGAUGGAUAACCAGUUGAUAUUCUGGUACCCGUGUAUGUGCGCCCAGUGGUGAAUCAGUGGUACUAACCAUCCAUGGAUCUUCUGGUCAUGCUUUUUGUGUGGUUGGUGGUGAUGUGCGUGGGAUCUUCGUUGGUAGUAGCCAAGUGAUGGGGUGACGCAGUGAGGUAGCUGAGCCAUGUAGUGGAUUGUGGUGUAAGCGUGUGGCCCGUGGCAUAGGUAAAUCCGUGUCGCAUAGUGGGUGAGGCGUGAUGCGUAGACCUUUGUGGUUGAUGUUGGUGAUCCUGUACUGUCGAGAAAAGCCUCUAGCGAGUGCAUAUAUGGCCCGUACCCAUAACCGACACAGGUGGUCAGGUAGAGAAUACUAAGGCGAUCGGGUGAACUGUGGUUAAGGAACUCGGCAAAUUGCCCCCGUAACUUCGGGAGAAGGGGGACCAUUGCUGGUGACCGACGUGGUUGAGCUGGUGGUGGUCGCAGAGAAUAGAGGGAAGCGACUGUUUAUUAAAAACACAGGUCCGUGCGAAAACGUGGAAGUUGAUGUAUACGGACUGACGCCUGCCCGGUGCUGGAAGGUUAAGAGGACCUGUUAGGGCAUUGUUGUCCGAAGCGGAGAAUUUAAGCCCCAGUAAACGGCGGUGGUAACUAUAACCAUCCUAAGGUAGCGAAAUUCCUUGUCGGGUAAGUUCCGACCUGCACGAAUGGCGUAACGACUUCCCUGCUGUCUCAACCACAGGCCCGGUGAAAUUGCAGUACGAGUAAAGAUGCUCGUUACGCGCGGCAGGACGAAAAGACCCCGGGACCUUCACUAUAGCUUGGUAUUGGUGUUUGGUUCGGUUUGUGUAGGAUAGGUGGGAGACUGUGAAGUGGUCACGCUAGUGGUUGUGGAGUCGAAAGUUGAAAUACCACUCUGAUCGGAUUGAGCACCUUAACCUUGGCCCAUGAUCUGGGUUGGGGACAGUGCCUGGUGGGUAGUUUAACUGGGGCGGUUGCCUCCUAAAAUGUAACGGAGGCGCCCAAAGGUUCCCUCAGCCUGGUUGGCAAUCAGGUGGUGAGUGUAAGUGCACAAGGGAGCUUGACUGUGAGACUGACAGGUCGAGCAGGGACGAAAGUCGGGACUAGUGAUCCGGCAUCUACUUGUGGAAGUGGUGUCGCUCAACGGAUAAAAGGUACCCCGGGGAUAACAGGCUGAUCUUCCCCAAGAGUCCAUAUCGACGGGAUGGUUUGGCACCUCGAUGUCGGCUCGUCGCAUCCUGGGGCUGGAGUAGGUCCCAAGGGUUGGGCUGUUCGCCCAUUAAAGCGGCACGCGAGCUGGGUUUAGAACGUCGUGAGACAGUUCGGUCUCUAUCCGCCGCGCGCGUUGAAACUUGAAGAAGGCUGUCCCUAGUACGAGAGGACCGGGACGGACGUACCUCUAGUGUGCCAGUUGUCACGCCAGUGGCAGGGCUGGUUGGCUACGUACGGGAGGGAUAACCGCUGAAAGCAUCUAAGCGGGAAGCCUGUUUUGAGAUGAGGUUUCUUUUGAGGUUCCCUCUAGACUAGGGGGUUGAUAGGCCAGAUCUGGAAGCGUAGUAAUGCGUUAAGGUGACUGGUACUAAUAUGACCGAGUAAUAACAUU